rnacentral:rRNA from 1 species
UACAGAGGGUGCGAGCGUUGUCCGGAAUCACUGGGCGUAAAGGGCGCGUAGGUGGCGACCCAAGUCCAUGGUGAAAGCUCGAUGCUCAACAUCGAGUCGGCCACGGAUACUGGGUUGCUGGAGCACUGUAGAGGCAGAUGGAAUUCCGGGUGUAGCGGUGGAAUGCGUAGAGAUCGGGAGGAACACCGGUGGCGAAGGCGGCUCUCUGGGCCGUAACUGACGCUGAGGAGCGAAAGCAUGGGGAGCGAACAGGA